AUUGAACGCUGGCGGCAGGCUUAACACAUGCAAGUCGAGCGGGGGAAGGUAGCUUGCUACCGGACCUAGCGGCGGACGGGUGAGUAAUGCUUAGGAAUCUGCCUAUUAGUGGGGGACAACAUCUCGAAAGGGAUGCUAAUACCGCAUACGUCCUACGGGAGAAAGCAGGGGAUCUUCGGACCUUGCGCUAAUAGAUGAGCCUAAGUCGGAUUAGCUAGUUGGUGGGGUAAAGGCCUACCAAGGCGACGAUCUGUAGCGGGUCUGAGAGGAUGAUCCGCGACACUGGGACUGAGACACGCCCCAGAGUCCUACGGGAGGCAGCAGUGGGGAAUAUUGGACAAUGGGGGGAACCCUGAUCCAGCCAUGCCGCGUGUGUGAAGAAGGCCUUAUGGUUGUAAAGCACUUUAAGCGAGGAGGAGGCUACUCUAGUUAAUACCUAGGGAUAGUGGACGUUACUCGCAGAAUAAGCACCGGCUAACUCUGUGCCAGCCGCCGCGGUAA
rnacentral:rRNA from 1 species